UAAGACCUAUGAACUACUAACUCAUAUCUUCUGAAUGCAACUCAAACACUUUCAUUAAGCUAAAGCCUUU
rnacentral:tRNA from 1 species